rfam:Human gut metagenome DNA, contig sequence: In-R_019423.
AACGCAGAAACGCUCCUGCAUGGACGCAGGAGCGAGGAGAACCGCGCCAUGGACGGCGCGUUUCGACGGUUUCGUCAAGCAUAGAAACCCUAAAA